rnacentral:rRNA from 1 species
GACGAACGCUGGCGGCGCGCCUAACACAUGCAAGUCGAACGAGCGAGAGAGAGCUUGCUUUCUUGAGCGAGUGGCGAACGGGUGAGUAACGCGUGAGGAACCUGCCUCAAAGAGGGGGACAACAGUUGGAAACGACUGCUAAUACCGCAUAAGCCCACGGUGCCGCAUGGCACAGAGGGAAAAGGAGCAAUCCGCUUUGAGAUGGCCUCGCGUCCGAUUAGCUAGUUGGUGAGGUAACGGCCCACCAAGGCGACGAUCGGUAGCCGGUCUGAGAGGUUGAACAGCCACAUUGGGACUGAGACACGGCCCAGACUCCUACGGGAGGCAGCAGUGGGGAAUCUUGCGCAAUGGGGGAAACCCUGAUGCAGCCACGCCGCGUGGAUGAUGAAGGUCUUCGGAUUGUAAACUUCUUUUGUUGGGGAAGAUAAUGACGGUACCCGACAAAGAAGUGCCGGCUAACUACGUG